AGAGACUUUCCUCUCGAGAACGACUUUAACCCCCUACUCAAAGCCGAACGACUUCCACAAGCGGUUCAACAGACAACGACCUAAGCAGCCUCAAGACCUCCCACAAGGUUUUGGUAUCAAGGUGAUGCGGGCCUCGUAUAAGGAGUUCAGAAGUCUUCCUUCCUCUGCAAUUUCUUGGAAUGGUUUGAGAAGGAUAAGUGUUAACUUUUCUUUAAAUGUUUGGUAGAAUUCAUCUGUGAGGGCAUCUGUUUCUGAAUUUUUAUUUGCCGGGAUUUUUUUUGUUAAUGAUUCAAUAUCAUUACUGUAGUUGGUCUAUUCAUAUUUUAUGUUUCUUCCUGGUUCAGUGUUAUAAGACUGUACAUUUCUAGGAAUUUGUACAUUUCUUAUAGGUUGUUCUUCUUAUUGCUAUAUAGUUGUUUGUAGUAAUCUCUUACGAUCCUUAGUAUUUCUAUAAUGUCAGUUGUUAACUUCUUUUUCAUUUCUGAUUUUAUUUAUCUGGGCCUUCUCUUUUUUCCUUGAUGAGUCUGGCUGAAGAAUUAUAUUUUCAAAGAAAUAGGUCUUUGAAAUAUUUCCAUGUGUGAAAAUGCUAUGGAAGGGAGGCUCAGCAAUUGUGCACUGCAGUGUAGGGUGAUCUCACAGGGACCUUUCUUUGGAGACUCCAGAUUCAGUAUCAUUGUCUUUUCUUUGGGUAGUCAAUUUUUAAAGAAAUGGCUUUUUCAAUCUACUGCCUGGAGGUUAUAAUUCUAGUAGUCAUCAUUCUUUAAACUAGGUGAGAGGAGUCUGGGAAUGUGAAUUUUAGUAUACAAACUUCACUGUACAUAAAACUUUGCUCAAUCGCUCUCUUUUCACUUAGAAGACUGUGGCUUAACAAGGUCUGGUUUCUUUUGAGUAGAGAUCCUAUUUUAUCCUCUUCACAUAAUUCAAGGAAGGAGCAGAUCCCAGUUUUGCAGGGCCUGAAACUCCAUAAAAUUUGGAGGCUUUGGGGCAGAGAAUAAAAAAUAACUUAGUUUUACAAAUUGAAACAGAAAAAAAAUGACUAUUUGUGCACAUUUCUUGGGCCCCUCCUAGGGCCUUGGAGGGACACAUGCCAGUGCUAAGCCCGGAGGCUAAAGAUUACCUAAUUUCAUGAUAAAUCUAAACUAGUCUUCAACCUAUUGCUUAAUAGCAUAGAAAAGCAACCAUGCUUUAAUAAAAAAAAAAAAAUAGAAUAGUAUAGAAUUAGAGGGGGUUUUGAUGGUCUAAACUGCAAACAAAAUUUGAAACUAGAAGACUUUUACUCCGAAUCCUAGAGGUGCCUGCUACUAUCAAUUUUUAAGCCUUUUAGGAGGAAGUUGUGCUAUAAUGGGAUUGCUUCUUUGUUUUCCUUAUUCCUGUUUUCAGCUUUCUUGUGUUUGCCAAGUUCUCACUUCUCUAUCAGCUUUCUGGUGUCCAAAUGUUGAUGCUGUUGUUUUCUUUACAUUACUGUUCUUGUUUGUUUAUACUAUUAUAAAAAAAAAAUUGCCUUUCUUGUCAUUUUACUGAGUUUCACAAAGGAGCAGAAGUUAAGGUGUUCUCAACCUGCCAUUCUUAACCCCAAAUCAGAAUGCGCCAUAUCACACUCCAGUACUGCCCCCCAAAAUGGCUGGAGAACGUUACACAAGUAGCAACAGAGCAUGAAAAUAUCACUUACCUUACCCUUGCCAAUACUCCAUAUUCUCAAAAUUUCCCAUUCUGGGAGUUCCUGUCAGGCUCAGCGGAAACGAAUCUGACUAGCAUCUAUGAGGACGCAGGUUCAAUCCCUGGCCUUGCUCAGUGGGUUAAGGAUCUGAUACCGCCCUGAGCUGUGGUGUAGGUCUUAGACGUGGCUCGGAUCUGGUGUUGCUGUGGCUGUGGUGUUGGCUGGCAGCUACAGCUCCAAUUCGACCCCUAGCCUGGGAACCUCCAUGUGCUGCAGGUGCGGCCCUAAAAAUAAAUAAAUAAAAUAAAAUAAAAUAAAAUAAAAUACAUUCUGAAUCUUUCCCCUUUUAUUAACACCUUUGUCCACCGGAAAGUUAGUAUCAGAAUCACCUGGAAACUUGCUGGACAGUUCUUAGGCCCCAUCCCAGGUGUACUGGCUCUGACAUCAGGUGGAAUGGACAGAGGGAAGGCCUUAAUCUGUGGUUUAACAGGCCCUCCAGCGGCUACAGCUCUGAUUCCACACUAGCCUGGGAACCUCCAUAUGCCAUGAGUGUAGCCCUAAAAAGACCAAAAAAAAAAAAGGAAAAAAAUAUCAACUAUACCAACUAUAGGUUGAAAUAAAAUAUUCACUUUUAAUAGUUAUCACACAAAUGUUUACUUACACUUAUCUGAAAAUUAAAAGAGGACAAUUUGUGCAUGUCACAUUCAUGUUACUAUCUAUAUAAGAACAACUACACAUAAUCAUUUAUUCAACUACAUCAGAAUAACACACAAGGGUUUGUUUGUUUUGGACUUCUCAGUUAAAAUAAACACCAAAGAAGGAAACUGAAUUUCCAAAAAUUAAGUUAUUAACAAAAUAAAUACUACAACUUAUUUCUAAAUGGCUUAUAUUUUGACAACUUUGAAUUAUACUUACAUACUAUUAUUUCCCAAAACCAUAAAUUACAACAAGGGUCACUGUCAGGGUGAAAAUACAUAUUUCUAAAGCUUUUUUAAAAUAUGCUAUUAUUAUGCUUUAACAUCACUUGAUUUAUUCUUGGCACAUGUGGCAUCUUGUAAAGUAAAAAUAGACUUUGCCAAUUUUAUGUUAUUGUGCAGGUAUAAGAGAGCACAGUUUGGAAGGCAGACAGACCUGUGUUCGGUUACCAGCUUUGUCCACAGUUGUGUUGUUAGGCUGGUCAAUUACUUCAUGGCACUGAGGCCAGGAUUAAAUAAAAUAAUGCCUUUUUUUAAAUGCGUAGCAUGGGUUCUAAAUGAAUGAUACAGCCUUUCCCCAGUUUACUCACAUUGAAGCAAUAACAAAAUAUCACAGUUUUAUAUUUUGGUACAAUUUGAAAAAACUAGAAAAUAAUUAGGAAAUU